UGCUGCAUGGCUGUCGUCAGCUCGUGUCGUGAGAUGUUGGGUUAAGUCCCGCAACGAGCGCAACCCUUGCCAUCAGUUGCUACGAAAGGGCACUCUGAUGGGACUGCCGGUGACAAACCGGAGGAAGGUGGGGAUGACGUCAAGUCCUCAUGGCCCUUAUAGGUGGGGCUACACACGUCAUACAAUGGCCGGUACAAAGGGCAGCCAACCCGCGAGGGGGAGCCAAUCCCAUAAAGCCGGUCGUAGUCCGGAUCGCAGUCUGCAACUCGACUGCGUGAAGUCGGAAUCGCUAGUAAUCGUGGAUCAGUAUGUCACGGUGAAUACGUUCCCGGGUCUU
rnacentral:rRNA from 1 species